GACGAACGCUGGCGGCGUGCUUAACACAUGCAAGUCGAACGGAAAGGCCCUGCUUUUGUGGGGUGCUCGAGUGGCGAACGGGUGAGUAACACGUGAGUAACCUGCCCUUGACUUUGGGAUAACUUCAGGAAACUGGGGCUAAUACCGGAUAGGAGCUCCUGCUGCAUGGUGGGGGUUGGAAAGUUUCGGCGGUGGGGGAUGGACUCGCGGCUUAUCAGCUUGUUGGUGGGGUAGUGGCUUACCAAGGCUUUGACGGGUAGCCGGCCUGAGAGGGUGACCGGCCACAUGGGGCCUGCGGUACGGCCCAGACUCCUACGGGAGGCAGCAGUGGGGAAUCUUGCACAAUGGGCGGAAGCCUGAUGCAGCAACGCCGCGUGCGGGAUGACGUCCUUCGGGUUGUAAACCGCUUUCGCCUGUGACGAAGCGUGAGUGACGGUAAUGUGUAAAGAAGCACCGGCUAACUACGUG
rnacentral:rRNA from 1 species